GAUGAAGAACGCAGCGAAAUGCGAUAAGUAAUGUGAAUUGCAGAAUUCAGUGAAUCAUCGAAUCUUUGAACGCACAUUGCGCCCCUUGGUAUUCCGGGGGGCAUGCCUGUUCGAGCGUCAUUAUAACCCCUCAAGCUCAGCUUGGUGUUGGGGCCUGCCAACUGGCAGCCCUUAAAAUCAGUGGCGGCGCCAUCUGGCUCUAAGCGUAGUAAUUCUUCUCGCUAUGGAGUCCUGGUGGAUGCUUGCCAUCAACCCCCAAUUUUUCUAUGGUUGACCUCGGAUCAGGUAGGGAUACCCGCUGAACUUAAGCAUAUCAAUAAGCGGAGGA
rnacentral:misc_RNA from 1 species